AAUAGAUACCCAGGUAGUCCACGCCGUAAACGAUGUCGACUUGGAGGUUGUGCCCUUGAGGCGUGGCUUCCGGAGCUAACGCGUUAAGUCGACCGCCUGGGGAGUACGGCCGCAAGGUUAAAACUCAAAUGAAUUGACGGGGGCCCGCACAAGCGGUGGAGCAUGUGGUUUAAUUCGAUGCAACGCGAAGAACCUUACCUACUCUUGACAUCCAGAGAACUUAGCAGAGAUGCUUUGGUGCCUUCGGGAACUCUGAGACAGGUGCUGCAUGGCUGUCGUCAGCUCGUGUUGUGAAAUGUUGGGUUAAGUCCCGCAACGAGCGCAACCCUUAUCCUUUGUUGCCAGCGGUUCGGCCGGGAACUCAAAGGAGACUGCCAGUGAUAAACUGGAGGAAGGUGGGGAUGACGUCAAGUCAUCAUGGCCCUUACGAGUAGGGCUACACACGUGCUACAAUGGCAUAUACAAAGAGAAGCGACCUCGCGAGAGCAAGCGGACCUCAUAAAGUAUGUCGUAGUCCGGAUUGGAGU
rnacentral:rRNA from 1 species